rnacentral:rRNA from 1 species
CCCUUAGAUGUUCUGGGCCGCACGCGCGUUACACUGAUGCAUUCAACAAGUUUGUUUUUGUUCCUUGGCCGAGAGGCCUGGGUAAUCUUGUAAUGUGCAUCGUGAUAGGGAUAGAUUAUUGCAAUUAUUAAUCUUGAACGAGGAAUUCCUAGUAAACGCAGAUCAUCAAUCUGCAUUGAUUACGUCCCUGCCCUUUGUACACACCGCCCGUCGCACCUACCGAUUGAAUGGUCCGGUGAAGCCUCGGGAUUGUGGCUGGUUCCCUUUAUUGGGGAUUGGUCGCGAGAACUUGUCUAAACCUUAUCAUUUAGAGGAAGGUGAAGUCGUAACA